rnacentral:ribozyme from 16 species
AAGAGAGAAGGUAGAUAGAAAGAAGAAAAGAGAGAGAGAGCGAGAGAGUGAUAUGGCAUUGUAUGGAUUUUUUCCCUCUCUCUCUCUUCUUCACUCUUCCCCUUCGUUUUUUCCUAAG